UCGGUGUCUCCAGGCUACUGACCAAGUACCAAGGGCUUCAUCAAUCUAAAAGGAGUUUUUUCCAUCUGAAUGUGGCAGCAACGGGACACAGCAGCAGAGCGGUAAGCUUCAUAUCACUCUUAAAUGUCGACAAACUUUACUUUAGAUUUACGGGCAUUAGCAGCACUAAAGCGUUAGCAUCCGGCUUGCUAUCGCUAGCACAGUAUGCUAGUAAAGUUAGCACCCAGAUUAAUUUGGAUUUGGCUGAUUUUCGUGGAAUAAAACGUGAUUUCUGAUCAACGCCUUCUUUUACACCAGAUGAUAACCUCCCACUGAUUGUAACAGCAGAGAGUCUGUGUGUUAUUCUACGUGAGUGUGAUGUAAUCUUAGCAUCCAGUAAAUAAAGUCCCAUAUAAGCUAAAAUGCAGCGUGACAAAGUCAUUAAAGUGCGUCAACACAGUGGAUUUAAUAGAGUUUUAAAGAACGAUCUCUGAGUGGAGUGAGGUUAGUUUUUUGUCUCACUGCAGAUAUAUAAACUAACUGCAUCAGUCAGACGCAGCAAAGCUCACCGUCUGUAUGAGUGUGAGCGUCGGAAAGCUGAUAAAAUCAGCUGUAAAAUAAUUAAAACAAAAGUAGAAAUGGUCCUUUGCUUUUUUAGAGUCAACAUCCAGAAGACUGGAGCCGUGUUUCACUGACAGGCUGUCAGACUAACGCCCUGAUGAGCUCAGCUGGGACAAACUGGUCUGAUGUUUAGGAACACAGAACGUUCAGAUGUUGAAGCUUCACGUGACCUACUGAGGAAGGAGACCCACCAGUAAAGAGACGGUCUGGACCAGACCAAAAAUAUGGCGAUGACAUCAUGGAACUGGUCUUUGGAAAAGUUUUCCCUGAACCAACUCAGUUUCUAGAUGAGGUAGAGAAGAUCUGCAUCUCACCAACCCUCUGGUCUCAGUAUUCAGACAACGUAGGUCUCCCACUGUUAUCCAGGACCAGUUUGAAGCCCACAUACUGCCCCUCCCUCAUCACCAGGAAACAUCAAUCCGUAUCCUGAGGACAACAGAAGACGGCAGGAGGACAGGAACUCUGAGACCUAGAUACCACCAGCACCGGGACACAAAGCACCUGUGUGCACAACGCCUGUUUAACUACUAAAGCCUGUUUAUUAUAUUGUUCUACUUAUUUGCUGU